GAUGAACGCUGGCGGCGUGCCUAAUACAUGCAAGUCGAGCGAACAGAUGAGGAGCUUGCUCCUCUGACGUUAGCGGCGGACGGGUGAGUAACACGUGGAUAACCUACCUAUAAGACUGGGAUAACUUCGGGAAACCGGAGCUAAUACCGGAUAAUAUAUUGAACCGCAUGGUUCAAUAGUGAAAGACGGUUUUGCUGUCACUUAUAGAUGGAUCCGCGCCGCAUUAGCUAGUUGGUAAGGUAACGGCUUACCAAGGCAACGAUGCGUAGCCGACCUGAGAGGGUGAUCGGCCACACUGGAACUGAGACACGGUCCAGACUCCUACGGGAGGCAGCAGUAGGGAAUCUUCCGCAAUGGGCGAAAGCCUGACGGAGCAACGCCGCGUGAGUGAUGAAGGUCUUCGGAUCGUAAAACUCUGUUAUUGGGGAAGAACAAAUGUGUAAGUAACUAUGCACGUCUUGGCGGUACCUAAUCAGAAAGCCACGGCUAACUACGUG
rnacentral:rRNA from 1 species